rnacentral:rRNA from 1 species
GGAAAAGAAACCAACAGGGAUUGCCCUAGUAACGGCGAGUGAAGCGGCAACAGCUCAAAUUUGAAAUCUGGCUCUUUCAGAGUCCGAGUUGUAAUUUGCAGAGGGCGCUUUGGCGUUGGCAGCGGUCCAAGUUCUUUGGAACAGGACGUCACAGAGGGUGAGAAUCCCGUACGUGGUCGCUAGCCUUCGCCGUGUAAAGCCCCUUCGACGAGUCGAGUUGUUUGGGAAUGCAGCUCUAAAUGGGAGGUAAAUUUCUUCUAAAGCUAAAUACUGGCCAGAGACCGAUAGCGCACAAGUAGAGUGAUCGAAAGAUGAAAAGCACUUUGGAAAGAGAGUCAAAUAGCACGUGAAAUUGUUGAAAGGGAAGCGCUUGCAGCCAGACUUGCCUGUAGUUGCUUAUCCGGACUUUUGUCCGGUGCACUCUUCUGCGGGCAGGCCAGCAUCAGUUUGGGCGGUUGGAUAAAGGUCUCUGUCAUGUACCUCCUUUCGGGGAGGCCUUAUAGGGGAGACGACAUACAACCAGCCUGGACUGAGGUCCGCGCAUCUGCUAGGAUGCUGGCGUAAUGGCUGUAAGCGGCCCGUCUUGAAACACGGACCAAGGAGUCUAACAUCUAUGCGAGUGUUUGGGUGUCAAGCCCAGACGCGUAAUGAAAGUGAACGGAGGUGGGAACCUUUUAGGUGCACCAUCGACCGAUCCUGAUGUCUUCGGAAGGAUUUGAGUAAGAGCAUGGCUGUUGGGACCCGAAAGAUGGUGAACUAUGCUUGAAUAGGGUGAAGCCAGAGGAAACUCUGGUGGAGGCUCGCAGCGGUUCUGACGUGCAAAUCGAUCGUCAAAUUUGGGCAUAGGGGCGAAAGACUAAUCGAACUAUCUAGUAGCUGGUUCCUGCCGAAGUUUCCCUCAGGAUAGCAGUAACGUAUUCAGUUUUAUGAGGUAAAGCGAAUGAUUAGAGGCCUGGGGGUUGAAACAACCUUCACCUAUUCUCAAACUUUAAAUAUGUAAGAAGUCCUUGUUACUUGAUUGAACGUGGACACUUGAAUGUACCGUUACUAGUGGGCCAUUUUUGGUAAGCAGAACUGGCGAUGCGGGAUGAACCGAACGCGGGGUUAAGGUGCCAGAAUAUACGCUCAUCAGACACCACAAAAGGUGUUAGUUCAUCUAGACAGCAGGACGGUGGCCAUGGAAGUCGGAAUCCGCUAAGGAGUGUGUAACAACUCACCUGCCGAAUGAACUAGCCCUGAAAAUGGAUGGCGCUCAAGCGUAUUACCCAUACCCCGCCGCCGGGGCAGAAUUUAUGCCCCGGCGAGUAGGCAGGCGUGGAGGCUCGUGACGAAGCCUUGGGGGUGACCCCGGGUCGAACGGCCUCUAGUGCAGAUCUU